rnacentral:rRNA from 1 species
CCUACGGGAGGCAGCAGUAAGGAAUAUUGGUCAAUGGGCGAAAGCCUGAACCAGCCACGCCGCGUGGAGGAUGAAGGUUCUCUGAUUUGUAACCCCCUUUUUUAGGGGAGCUAAUGCCGGUAUCUAACGAAUGUGCACAUGCUAACGCCGAGACAGCCGCCGCAGUAAUACGCAGGCUGCACGCGUUACUCGGAGGUACUGGGCGUAAACAGUGCGUAGGCGGGAUAGUAAGUCAGAUGUGAAUUCCUAGGGCUUAACCACAGAACUGCAUUUGAAACUGUUGAUCUAGAGUAUGGGAGAGGUAGGCGGAAUGCGUGGUGUAGCGGUAAAAUGCGUAGAGAUCAAGCAGAAUACCGAUUGCGAAGGCGACCUGCCAGAACAUAACUGACGCUGAGGCGCGAAAGCGUGGGGAGCAAACAGGAUUAGAUACCCGAGUAGUC